rnacentral:misc_RNA from 1 species
GAUGAAGAACGUAGCGAAAUGCGAUACGUAAUGUGAAUUGCAGAAUUCAGUGAAUCAUCGAGUCUUUGAACGCACAUUGCGCCCCCUGGUAUUCCGGGGGGCAUGCCUGUCCGAGCGUCAUUGCUGCCCUCAAGCACGGCUUGUGUGUUGGGCCCCGCCCCCCGGCUCCCGGGGGGCGGGCCCGAAAGGCAGCGGCGGCACCGCGUCCGGUCCUCGAGCGUAUGGGGCUUCGUCACCCGCUCCGUAGGCCCGGCCGGCGCCCGCCGGCGACCCCCCUCAAUCUUUUCAGGUUGACCUCGGAUCAGGUAGGGAUACCCGCUGAACUUAAGCAUAUCAAUAAGCGGAGA